rnacentral:rRNA from 1 species
CCUACGGGAGGCAGCAGUGAGGAAUAUUGGUCAAUGGACGAGCGUCUGAACCAGCCAAGUAGCGUGAAGGAUGACUGCCCUAUGGGUUGUAAACUUCUUUUAUAUGGGAAUAAAACGUUCCACGUGUGGGAUUUUGUAUGUACCAUAUGAAUAAGGAUCGGCUAACUCCGGGCCAGCAGCCGCGGUAAUACGGAGGAUCCGCGCGUUAUCCGGAUUUAUUGGGUUUAAAGGGAGCGUAGGUGGAUUGUUAAGUCAGUUGUGAAAGUUUGCGGCGCAACCGUAAAAUUGCAGUUGAAACUGGCAGUCUUGAGUACAGUAGAGGUGGGCGGAAUUCGUGGUGUAGCGGUGAAAUGCUUAGAUAUCACGAAGAACUCCGAUUGCGAAGGCAGUUCACUGGACUGCAACUGACACUGAGGCUCGAAAGUGUGGGUAUCAAACAGGAUUAGAUACCCUUGUAGUC